ACGAACGCUGGCGGCACGCUUAACACAUGCAAGUCGAACGAGAGAAGAGGAGCUUGCUUUUCUGAUCUAGUGGCGGACGGGUGAGUAACACGUGAGCAAUCUGCCUUUCAGAGGGGGAUACCGAUUGGAAACGAUCGUUAAUACCGCAUAACAUAAUUGAACCGCAUGAUUUGAUUAUCAAAGAUUUAUCGCUGAAAGAUGAGCUCGCGUCUGAUUAGCUAGUUGGUAAGGUAACGGCUUACCAAGGCGACGAUCAGUAGCCGGACUGAGAGGUUGAUCGGCCACAUUGGGACUGAGACACGGCCCAGACUCCUACGGGAGGCAGCAGUGGGGAAUAUUGCACAAUGGAGGAAACUCUGAUGCAGCGAUGCCGCGUGAGGGAAGAAGGUUUUAGGAUUGUAAACCUCUGUCUUCAGGGACGAAAAAAGACGGUACCUGAGGAGGAAGCUCCGGCUAACUACGUGCCAGCAGCCGCGGUAAUACGUAGGGAGCGAGCGUUGUCCGGAAUUACUGGGUGUAAAGGGAGCGUAGGCGGGAUCGCAAGUCAGAUGUGAAAACUAUGGGCUUAACCCAUAAACUGCAUUUGAAACUGUGGUUCUUGAGUGAAGUAGAGGUAAGCGGAAUUCCUAGUGUAGCGGUGAAAUGCGUAGAUAUUAGGAGGAACAUCAGUGGCGAAGGCGGCUUACUGGGCUUUAACUGACGCUGAGGCUCGAAAGCGUGGGGAGCAAACAGGAUUAGAUACCCUGGUAGUCCACGCCGUAAACGAUGAUUACUAGGUGUGGGGGGACUGACCCCUUCCGUGCCGCAGCAAACGCAAUAAGUAAUCCACCUGGGGAGUACGACCGCAAGGUUGAAACUCAAAGGAAUUGACGGGGGCCCGCACAAGCAGUGGAGUAUGUGGAUUAAUUCGAAGCAACGCGAAGAACCUUACCAGGUCUUGACAUCGUAUGCAUAGCUCAGAGAUGAGUGAAAUCUCUUCGGAGACAUAUAGACAGGUGGUGCAUGGUUGUCGUCAGCUCGUGUCGUGAGAUGUUGGGUUAAGUCCCGCAACGAGCGCAACCCUUACUGUUAGUUGCUACGCAAGAGCACUCUAGCAGGACUGCCGUUGACAAAACGGAGGAAGGUGGGGAUGACGUCAAAUCAUCAUGCCCCUUAUGACCUGGGCCUCACACGUACUACAAUGGCUGUCAACAGAGGGAAGCAAAGCCGCGAGGUGGGGCAAACCCCUAAAAGCAGUCUUAGUUCGGAUUGUAGGCUGCAACCCGCCUACAUGAAGUCGGAAUUGCUAGUAAUCGCAGAUCAGCAUGCUGCGGUGAAUACGUUCCCGGGCCUUGUACACACCGCCCGUCACGCCAUGGGAGUCGGUAACACCCGAAGCCUGUAGUCUAACCGCAAGGAGGACGCAGUCGAAGGUGGGAUUGAUGACUGGGGUG
rnacentral:rRNA from 1 species